UCAUCAUGAUCAUGAUCAUGAUGAUGAUGAUGAUGAUGAUCAUCAUCAUCAUCAUGCAUCAUCAUCAUGCAUC